UUAUAUCAGUGGAGAGAUCCACGAGUCAUUGGUUGAGUUGCAACAAUUAAAGUAUUUGAACCUCAGUCAUAAUUAUUUUUCAAACAUCCCAGAGUUUCUUGGUUCUCUCAGCAACUUGAGAUACCUUGAUCUCUCAUGGGACUAUUUUGGCGGAAAAAUUCCAAGUCAGUUUGGGUCUCUUUCUCAUUUGAAAUACUUGAAUCUAGCUGGGAAUGAUCUUGAGGGUUCAAUCCCUCCCCAACUUGGAAAUCUCUCAAAGUUGGAAUAUCUUGACCUCAGCUCCAACCGUUUUGAAGGAAAUAUACCAUCCCAAAUCGGAAAUCUCUCCAAGUUGGAACAUCUUGACCUCAGCUCCAACUCUUUUGAAGAAAAUAUUCCAUCCGAACUUGGGAAUCUUUCAAACUUACAACAGCUUUAUCUUGAUGAUGGAGUUCUCAACGAUGGGGGUAAGUGGUUGUCUAAUCUCAUUUCUUUAACCCAUCUUUACUUGAGGUCCAUAUAUGGUCUUAGUUCUCAUAGUUGGCUGCAAAAGCUACCAAAACUAAGAGAGCUACGCUUAAUUGAUUGUAGUCUUUCUGAUCAUUUUAUCCUUUCAUCGAGGCCUUCCAAAUUCAACUUUUCUACUUCCCUUUUGGCCAUUGAUCUUUCUCAAAACACCUUCACGUCACCCAUGAUAUUCAAGUGGGUGACAAAUAUCACUUCCAAUCUUGUUGAGCUAGACCUUGCUGGUAACAACUUGAAGGGUUCUGUAUCCAAUCAUUUUGGCAUGGCAAUGAAUUCUCUUGAGCACCUUGACCUUUCACUUAAUAAUUUCAAGGGUGACGUUCUAAAAUCUUUCAUGAAUAUAUGCACUUUACAAUCUUUAAAAAUGACAGAAAAUAAUUUUACUGAAGACCUUCCAUCAAUUCUUCAUCAUUUGUCUAGUGGAUGCAUUGGAUACUCGCUACAAGACUUGGAUUUGUCAGACAAUUAUAUUACUGGAUCUUUAUCUAACCUUUCAACAUUUUUAGCUUUGAAGUCAUUGGAUCUUUCAUUUAAUCAAUUAAAUGAAAAGAUAACAGAAGGUACCAAAUUGCCAUUUCAAUUGGAAUCUUUAUCAAUCUCAUCAAAUCUUCUUGAAGGUAGAAUUCCCAAAUCGUUUGGCAAUGCAUGUGCCUUAAGCACCUUAGACAUGAGAGAUAAUAACUUGAGUGAUGAGCUUUCAACAACAAUACAUCACUUGUCUGGAUGUGCUAAAUACUCGCUACAAGAAUUAAACUUAGAAGGAAAUCAAAUUAAUGGUACGUUUCCUGACCUUUCAACAUUUUCAGCUUUGAAAUCAUUGGAUCUUUCAUUUAAUCGAUUAAAUGGAAAGAUAAUAGAAGGUAGCAAAUUGCCAACUCAAUUGGAAUCUUU
rnacentral:lncRNA from 1 species